rnacentral:rRNA from 1 species
UACGGAGGAUCCAAGCGUUAUCCGGAAUCAUUGGGUUUAAAGGGUCCGUAGGCGGUUUUGUAAGUCAGUGGUGAAAGCCCAUCGCUCAACGGUGGAACGGCCAUUGAUACUGCAAGACUUGAAUUAUUGGGAAGUAACUAGAAUAUGUAGUGUAGCGGUGAAAUGCUUAGAGAUUACAUGGAAUACCAAUUGCGAAGGCAGGUUACUACCAAUAUAUUGACGCUGAUGGACGAAAGCGUGGGGAUCAAAACAGG